GACGAACGCUGGCGGCGUGCUUAACACAUGCAAGUCGAACGGAAAGGCCCUGCUUUUGUGGGCUUCUCGAGUGGCGAACGGGUGAGUAACACGUGAGUAACCUGCCCUUUACUUUGGGAUAACUUCAGGAAACUGGGGCUAAUACCGGAUAGGAGCUCCUGCUGCAUGGUGGGGGUUGGAAAGUUUCGGCGGUUGGGGAUGUAAUCGCGGCUUAUCAGCUUGUUGGUGGGGUAUUGGCUUUCCAAGGCUUUGACGGAUAUCCGUCCUGAGAGGGUAACCGGGGACCUUGGGACUGAGGUACGGCGCAGACUCCUACGGGAGGCAGCAGUGGGAAAUCUUGCACAGUGGGCGGAAGCCUGAUGAAGCAACGCCGCGUGCGGGAUGACGGCCUUCGGGUUGUAAACCGCUUUCGCCUGUGACGAAGCGUGAGUGACGGUAAUGGGUAAAGAAGCACCGGCUAACUACGUG
rnacentral:rRNA from 1 species